rnacentral:sRNA from 2 species
GCCCUUAGCGUUGAAAGUUGAAGGUCAGAGGUGGGGUCCGGGAGGCGAUUUUGAAAGACUGUCCUAGGCCCGCUCUGUCUGAAGUCUCCAAUAAUUCUAAAACUCCAUGGGGACGAAAACCGGUUCUUCGUGCAUUUGCUUUUAGUAUGACUACCAUGUUGAUAAUUUAUCGCGAUCCCGGCAUUUCGGUGAGGGGAACAGGUAUGUACUCUGAACAUUCCUACAGAACAUGGAGCUGGCUCAGAUUGUAGGGUUAUUAAACAACCUAAAAAUGAUAAAAUAAAAUAUAUUGCACAAGUGUUCUUUUAAGAAACCCUUGCCUGGAAGGUUGAACUCAGGGUUUAACACUACCAUAGAUCCGCCCGAAGGGGGGGGAAUUGUGUGCUUCCUGUGCUUGGUUGUUGGUAGACUCGUGGGACAAUUGAUUCGUCCUUAGAGCGCUAUGUUCUAUUUCACCUUAAGGGAUCCACACUGCUAAAGGGAGGGAUGGCGGAAACUCUUUGCUGAUAAGUCUUUCGAAUGACGGACAGAGUAGGAACACAUACAAGGGGCGGAAAUAGGAAAGCCAGGCUUGUCACACUGCAGGAGAAAAUUGGAAGCUUGGAGUCCGCAGGUCUUGGAAACCGGGUUUUGGAUAUUGAAAGUAUCAAGGAUCAAGUAUAGUAUCAAAGUAUCAUGUAUUAUGUGUACCACCUGCGCAUGUAUCAGAGUGCCGAGAUCAGGAUGAUUAUGGUUCAUUGGUGAUUUGAUAUCAGGGACCAGCGAAUACAACGAACGCCAUAUCAAGGCGAGCUGUCGUGAUCUUAGAGAGAGCUUAGGUAGCUAUUUUUCUCACCAGCUGCUGCAAAAUCUGGGGGUAAAUUGCGUUCCAUGGCAUAGCGGUGUGGCUUGCUUCUGUUGGAUAUGUGAAUUAACUAUAACUAGUGGUUAUAUGAAGGUGGAUUUGCCUGUGUUCGAACACAUGUUCCUAUGGUGUUCAGCCAAGGCCCCUGAAUAACCCAUACAUGUUCUGUACAGUGAGCUACCUUCUUUGAUCAUAUAAAAGAGGUAACUUUUCUGUAAUAUUAUGUAUGAUGACUGUAUCAGCCUCUCUCUGAAUGUGUAUUUAAUAAUUAUCACCCCACUACUGUAUUCUUCUCCCUCUGCUCUUGUAUUGAUUUCUAUUCUUAACUAUUCUUAUUCUUAUUCAUCUACUUUGAAAUCCUUGCAUCUUCAUACAAGUAAGAAAGACUGAUAAUAAUCUCUGCUGUUGAUACUGCUGUUGAAGCAGCUGCUGUACAGAAGCAG